ACGAUGUAAAAAUAAAAUCCAGACAUUUACUAAGGGAUGAUUCGUUUACUAAGGAUAGAAUAUAGUAUAUAUUGCGUUUCUUUGAGUGUGAUCAUUUUGUUGAAUCGAUGUAAAUCUUAGCUCUUUCUACAAAGUGGAUUAUUAAUUCGUCUCAUAGGCGUUCAAUUAGCCCGCGGGUCCGGCGUGAAAUGAAUUAUUCGUCGACGCAUGCGCGUUCUCGGCAUGUUUUACCGCGCAGCGGAAAUUUACUGCUGUCGCCUCGUAUAAAUAGUAGACAUGGCCACCGUGAAAUUUACGAACGACCAACCGAUUGUCUCGUAAAAUUUCUACGUUGCUGUCUCUUCUUUUCGUUUUGGAAAUUGUUCAUUUUCAUAGUGAAACAAUAAGACCCGGAAGUGAAGAACUCGUAUCUUCAUGAUGGACGUGAAAUCUGUGCGAAGAAUUUUGUGGUUAUGGUGGUUAGACGCACUUUUCAUGAUUGAGGAUUAAUGAUCCCUCCACGUUAUCUUCUCUUUUGCACGAGCGUGUUUUCCAUUAAAACGAAUCGACUCUCGCGACUAUCCGUGCAAUCUUUCAACAGCGUUUCAUCUUCUCCUGCGUGUGGACCGAUCUUUCGAAGACAUUCCAUGCUCAUGGUGGACCCGGGCUGCAAACGCGUUCCUAUGAAUUAUUGCACCAUUAACGUGAGUAAUCGCGCCGGCGGGAAAAUUAUAUAGUAAUUUGUUCACGGCUGAUCGAAUACGUCGUGAAUUUUAUAUUCUCUCUUUUGCGAGAGAGAGGGAAGGGGGUAAUGAAGCGGGUUAGCCCUGGGGUAAAAACGCAAUGUUGCAACCCCACCGUGGACUCGUGGCCAUGAAAAAUGAAGACGUUUCACCCGGUCGGCUUUCGAUUUUACAUCGGCUGAAUGGACCGGUUAAGUAGCUAUUCUCAUACGGUUAUAAUUUAUACGUGUACCCUUUUGUGUUAUGCGGCGCGAUGAUUCUUCCGGUGAUCGGACGUACUCGAUCGAAACUUAGACCGGUCUUUUUAAAAAAUGCUCGUUUAAAAGGAAGUUGUUAAAAAAAGUCUGUUGUUUCGUGAGUGAUAGUACUGGAGAUCUUUGACCUUACAGGGAGAGAUGGAAUCGAAAGAUAUAUUUCUUGCUAUAGAAGAAAGAGAUUGAAAACUUUUACCUUUUGAAGAUGUGAUCAUUUGAUGAUGAAGAAAUAUUUAUGAAACGCUAUGGAUUUUUAUAAAUACAUUUAUGAAAAAUAUUCAAAAAUAUAUAAAAUGUGAUGUGUAAAAAGAUAUAAUCCAUCCAAUGAUGCAACAUCCAAGAAUUACACGAAUGACAAUGCAUGUAUGAAGAAAUUUGAACUGUAAAAUAUGAGAGUAAAAUAUUAAAUAAAAAUAUAAUAUUGGAAACUAAAUCAAAUGGUAUAAUAGCAACAUAAAAUUCGUGGAUCCCAUAAAUUCGAUAAAAAUCUUGCGAAAAUCAGCAGAAAGUUGAGUUGUCUUCGUUAAUUUUGAUUUCAAUAACAAGAUUUCGAAAAAGGAAAGAACAAGAGCUAGUUUUGCGGAGUAAUUAGGAACCUACGAGCAAUAGUGCUAAUCAAGCAGCCAGAGAAAGAAAUAAGUCUGAGGAGAUGGAAGCUGAAGAAGGGUCCGGUUUAAGUGACAGAAAGGCUGGUCCGAAGUGGCACGAAGGUACACGCGAGGUGGUAGCCUCGGGUGACAAGUUAAAAAGGGAGGGACGAGGUGGCGGCGCGAGCCAGCCUUCUCUUCUCUCGGAUCAUGCUAAUGAAAUUCUCAAGAUAUCUAUCUUGCGCGCCACUGUGCACAAGGCAUUAGUUUAGCGUCUCGCUCGCGGCCACCUCGAUCUUAUCUGUCCGCCUUCAGACGCACGGUAUCAAUUUCCCUGGAACGUGAAACAUACGGGCCAUAGUUCGUCAACCGAUUCCGUGUUUAACGAUUCUUGGCUAUCGGUACACUGUUCACAGUUUGGAUUCUGUGAAAAUUAAGAGGAAAGAAGAGAUGACUUUAUAGAAUGAUAUUUUUUUAAGAAUUGGAUUGACAUUGGAGGAGAGGGUAUGAGUGAUUUUUUUCAUUGCGAAUAGAUAGAUAAAGAUAUGGAUAAGAAUAAAUAGUCAGAGGAAUGAGAAAAUAAUGAUAUAAGAAUUAUAAUUUUCAUUACUUUGACUGGAAAGGAAAAAAAAUGGAUUGUUUAAAUAAGAAAAUGUAAAAUUGGAAAUAGAAGAGAAUGACAUUAAAAAUUGUGAUUAAAAAGAAAUAAAAAAAUAGAAGAAUGGAAAGAAAUAGAAUUGAGAGAACAAUUUUCUCAAGUUAUUUGUAAUUAUUCUUAUUUAAAGAUUGUAAUUAGAUGGUUUUAGAAUUACCAGUAUUCAUAAUGUUUACAAUUCGCGUACAAUUUUAUUGCCAUUUAAUAGAUUAAAUACUGUAAAGAUCGAUAGUAAGUAUUUCUAAUCCUUGCUUUUGGCUUACGAUUACAAGAAGCCAUAUUAAUCGUCUUCUUGUACGAAAAGAAUAGCCUUGCUCAUUCAUCACCAUAUAUCCUCAGUCGAUGAUCUUUGAAUCAACGUGCCGCGGUAUUCCCACAAUAACGAAGCUGAAGAUGCAGAAAAUGGAAUCGGCGAGUCACGGCAUAAAGAUGAAUAUGAAGACGUUGCCACUAACUUAUGCACUUCCCAAGCCAUUGAGAUCCUUUGAUGCCGCCGAAUCGUUCAAGGAAUAUGACAUUAAGGUCAGCGACUCACGCCGGUGCUGGGGCCAAAUUGCAACUUGCUGCUCGUGCAACCCUGGUGUCUUCCACCGCGCUGUUGAACAAAGAAGACCGCUUGAAGACGAAAAGAAAUAGGACGAAUCGGAUGGAACACUCGAAGGAGCGUGAGAAUGAAGUCUCCCCAUCGGCUCAAGCCCCCCGAACCUAUGAUUGAUUUAAAGGUCACGCGUUUCCACGUUUUUACUCGCGUGUUCGCAGGUCGUCGAUGGUUCCCAACCCGGAAUAUUUAACCCGGUUGACCUUUCCAUAGUUUCUCCCGUAGCCUCGUUCUCCUGUUGGCCAAAACGUCCAUCGAGAGAUCCCUCCGCUUUCUUGUUCCCUUUCGUUUCGCGUCCGCCUUUCUCCGCCGACUGGCGCGAUGUUAAUUACAAACCUCUUAGCUCGAAUUACCGUGCACGCCACCACUUUUGCCAUUCCAUGUCUCGAUCCUCUUGCGUUUUCGCUUCGAAUCGUCCCGUUUACUCGGUUCGAGGGCUAGUAUAAACGUGGAACUUGGUCCCCGUCAACGGGGAGUAAGUGAUACACCUGCUAUUUUCGCGGAUAAUUAUAAGAUCUGAGGUUGAGGUGAGCAAGGUGAAUGAAACUCCUCGAAGAGGAUGUGUGUUAGGAUAUCGGGGAUAAUGAUGGAUUUCAUUUAUUUUUAUAGCGAAAGAAAGUUUUUCGAUUAUUCUAGAUUUCUCAUUCGUUUAUCGAUGGUACUAAAAAAUACUAUUUAUCCGGAAAGACUAUUAGAGAUAACAUUAGCGAGAAAUGUUGCGAACGCGGCCAUUUCCAUCUAUGCGAUCGAGAAACCUUGUAAUCGAUACGGAAAGGAAUCUUCCAUAACUUACUUGGACAACCCUCGUUCGUUUCAAUGAAUCGGAAUUUCCAUUUCCGAGGAAAUAAAGCUAGAAGCUAACGAAUGUGUAAUGAAAUUUCACGAGAGAGCAAAGUUAUAGAGAUAUUUAUAAUGCUAGUGAAAAGAUUAGAGGAUAGCGUAACUUGAUAUUACUUUUUGUUCAAUCUCCAUUAUUUCCUUCUAUUACAUAAUUUCAUUUAAUCCUUAAAUGAUCUCAGCAUGCUCUUCUAAUGACUCACAAAUAAUCUUUACCCUAAACUUUAUGAUCUUGGAUUUAUCUUUAUCUUUACAUUUACGUUUCUAUAAUAUUUAUUCCAUUAAUUUCUAUUAUUAUUUGUAGAACUUUUUUUAAUCUAUCAUUCAAACACGAAGGGUAAAGAAAUCGCGGAAAGUUUUAAAAAUAGUCCACCUCAUUCUCAACAUUUAUCUUUAAUUGGUACGUUGUUACAUAUCAAUCUUCCCGACAAAUAAAGAUCACAAUCUUUUUACCGCAUUCCCGACAUCUCGAUAUUGUUUACUUUAACCGCCUCGACGCCCAAUCUGUCCAUGUUUGGGGCUUGUUUCCUAAAGGGUAAUUACAACGUCUAGUUUGAUCUCUGAACGGUGCUCGAAUAAGCGGUUGUUAAACCGUUUAUACCUUCGUUUAUUCGCGGAACAGAACAAUCUAGGAUAUUACGACCUAUCUUUUUGUUCCCAUGAGGGCCGCGCGAUUUUGACGUUUAUAAAACAUUGUGCGGUUUCAAUAUACCAGCCCUGUAAUUUGUCCUCGCGAAUCUGCAAUCUUAUUAACGGUAAUAAUAUCGUAAUCCGUUUAGAGUGACCACGAAUCUAAAGAAACCGAAUCUGAACAUUUUCUGAAUCGGUGAAUUGAAUGAUUAGCUUCUCGGAGUAAUAAUUAUAGGAUUAAGAUGAUUUAUGAUAAUGUUGAAUUUUUAUCCAAAUAAAAAUAUAACGAUAAGAAAAAUAUUUCAUUAUUUUGUACAAAUUUCCAUUGGAAAUGUUUUGAAUUUGCUAUAAAGUGAGUGAGUGAACUUGAAUAUCCUUUCAAUCUCCUAUACAAUUUUCCAUAAUCAACCAUAAAUAUGAUUCUCAACAAAAAAUCGAAGAACAUCAUAAAAGUAUCGUUAAGAGUAAUAAAGUGAAUUCCAACGUUACGAACAUACUCGUAUUAUAAAUAUCACAAAACAAACAACCCUUAUUUUCACGAGACUAUUUUACUAAACAGCAAGAAAGAGAGAAAUGUUUUAAAAAAAUAAUCUUAACAUUCCUUUUAUAUACUCGAUCAAAACAAUUAAAAAUAUUUGUGUAAAUACUUUUUUUGAAUUUUCUUCUUUACAUAAAAUAAAAAUUAGAUCUCACGAUAAACACGUUAUACAUAUAAGAGAAAAAAAUUUCGUUUUGUAAACGAAAUUCUAAAAAUUGUUGAAGGGUUGAAAGAUCCAGGAUCCAAGAUCCAUCUUCUUCCAUAAAAUCCAAUUUUAUUUUUAUCACAUCCACGAAUACCUUUGCGUUCACUCGAUACAAUGUAGGUGUCCACGAGGAAGGUGGUCCACGGGCUCGUAAAACUCUCAUUCGCGCGACUAUUCGCGGAAGAACGCGCGCGUUUCCCUCCUCGCCGCCCCUUCGACCGGAUUAUUAUCAGCCAUUUACACGUUUAUGCUCUUUGCCGCGCCACGCAGAUGGCCGCGACUCGUAUGCUAACGGUACAGUGUCUGAUUUUCCGGUACAAUAAAGUCCCUUUGGCGAAGGGGGCGCCUAGUCCGGCAAUUAACGCUCGUAAGUCCAACCAGCCUGCCUCCCUUUGAUUUAAAUAGUUGGCGUUUCCUUGUGUAAUUCUAACUGAAAAAUCGAGACCCUAACCCUGGCAUUUAUUACACAGUAUUCUUCGGCUACCUGUGCCGCAAUUCCCUUUGUGCGCGAGUUGUGCUUUUGAAAGCGAGGGAUGUUUAAUGGAAGACGCGAGGCUAUUGAUGUUCCGCGGGUACGCCGCUUUGAUGUGCUAUCAAUAAAAAUAGUUUUAAUGGGGACGUAGGAUGGAAUAAUGCGAGACCAAGUUAAACACUUUGAACUUGUGCCGCUUGUAUUGGCUCGCAUUAUCUAUUUCCUUUGUUAAAUAUUGCGAAUCGUAUAUGUACGACAAUGUUCUUAAAUUUAAAUAUUUAUCAAACAACAAAGAAAUUAAAUAUUGCUAUGAAAAUCAUCCCCUUAUAAUUGUUUCUCAUUUCUCUUAAUAAUAUUUGAAAUUUAAUUUUUC